CCUACGGGUGGCUGCAGUGGGGAAUAUUGGGCAAUGGGCGCAAGCCUGACCCAGCAAUGCCGCGUGAAGGAAGACGGCUUUCUGGUUGUAAACUUCUUUGACAGUGGAAGUUCAGAAUACGGUACCCUGAAACCAAUCCACGGCUAACUACGUGCCAGCAGCCGCGGUAAUACGUAGGUGGCAAGCGUUGUCCGGAUUUACUGGGUGUAAAGGGCGUGUAGCCGGGAAGGCAAGUCAGGUGUGAAAUCUGGAGGCUCAACCGCCAAAUUGAAGUUGAAACUGGUUUUCUUGAGUACUGGAGAGGCAGACGGAAGUCCUUGUGUAGCGGUGAAAUGCGUAGAUAUAAGGAGGAACACCAGUGGCGAAGGCGGUCUGCUGGACAGCAACUGACGGUGAGGCGCGAAAGCGUGGGGAGCAAACAGGAUUAGAUACCCGAGUAGUC
rnacentral:rRNA from 1 species